rnacentral:rRNA from 1 species
GACGAGGGACCUAGCGUUGUUCGGAAUCAUUGGGCGUAAAGCGGAUGUAGGUGGCUUUGUAAGUCAGGUGUGAAAGCCCCGAGCUCAACUCGGGAAGUGCAUUUGAUACUGCGAAGCUUGAGUGUGGAAGAGGUAAGUAGAAUACCUGGUGUAGUGGUGAAAUACGUAGAUAUCAGGUGGAAUACCGGAGGCGAAGGCGGCUUACUGGUCCAACACUGACGCUAGAGGAAGCGGAAAGCCAAGGGAGGCAAACGG